UACGUAGGAGGCGAGCGUUGUCCGGAUUUACUGGGCGUAAAGCGCGUGUAGGCGGUGCGAUUAGUCUGCUGUGAAAGCGCUCGGCUUAACCGGGCGAGGUCGGUGGAUACUGUCGCACUUGAGGACGGUAGAGGGGGGUGGAAUUCCCGGUGUAGUGGUGAAAUGCGUAGAGAUCGGGAGGAACACCUGUGGCGAAGGCGGCCCCCUGGGCCGCUCCUGACGCUGAGACGCGAAGGCCAGGGUAGCGAACAGG
rnacentral:rRNA from 1 species